rnacentral:rRNA from 1 species
AUUGAACGCUGGCGGCAUGCCUUACACAUGCAAGUCGAACGGCAGCACGGAGCUUGCUCUGGUGGCGAGUGGCGAACGGGUGAGUAAUAUAUCGGAACGUACCCUAGAGUGGGGGAUAACGUAGCGAAAGUUACGCUAAUACCGCAUACGAUCUAAGGAUGAAAGUGGGGGAUCGCAAGACCUCAUGCUCGUGGAGCGGCCGAUAUCUGAUUAGCUAGUUGGUAGGGUAAAAGCCUACCAAGGCAUCGAUCAGUAGCUGGUCUGAGAGGACGACCAGCCACACUGGAACUGAGACACGGUCCAGACUCCUACGGGAGGCAGCAGUGGGGAAUUUUGGACAAUGGGCGAAAGCCUGAUCCAGCAAUGCCGCGUGAGUGAAGAAGGCCUUCGGGUUGUAAAGCUCUUUUGUCAGGGAAGAAACGGUGAAAGCUAAUAUCUUUUGCUAAUGACGGUACCUGAAGAAUAAGCACCGGCUAACUACGUGCCAGCAGCCGCGGUAAUACGUAGGGUGCAAGCGUUAAUCGGAAUUACUGGGCGUAAAGCGUGCGCAGGCGGUUUUGUAAGUCUGAUGUGAAAUCCCCGGGCUCAACCUGGGAAUUGCAUUGGAGACUGCAAGGCUAGAAUCUGGCAGAGGGGGGUAGAAUUCCACGUGUAGCAGUGAAAUGCGUAGAUAUGUGGAGGAACACCGAUGGCGAAGGCAGCCCCCUGGGUCAAGAUUGACGCUCAUGCACGAAAGCGUGGGGAGCAAACAGGAUUAGACACCCUGGUAGUCCACGCCCUAAACGAUGUCUACUAGUUGUCGGGUCUUAAUUGACUUGGUAACGCAGCUAACGCGUGAAGUAGACCGCCUGGGGAGUACGGUCGCAAGAUUAAAACUCAAAGGAAUUGACGGGGACCCGCACAAGCGGUGGAUGAUGUGGAUUAAUUCGAUGCAACGCGAAAAACCUUACCUACCCUUGACAUGGCUGGAAUCCUUGAGAGAUCAGGGAGUGCUCGAAAGAGAACCAGUACACAGGUGCUGCAUGGCUGUCGUCAGCUCGUGUCGUGAGAUGUUGGGUUAAGUCCCGCAACGAGCGCAACCCUUGUCAUUAGUUGCUACGAAAGGGCACUCUAAUGAGACUGCCGGUGACAAACCGGAGGAAGGUGGGGAUGACGUCAAGUCCUCAUGGCCCUUAUGGGUAGGGCUUCACACGUCAUACAAUGGUACAUACAGAGCGCCGCCAACCCGCGAGGGGGAGCUAAUCGCAGAAAGUGUAUCGUAGUCCGGAUUGUAGUCUGCAACUCGACUGCAUGAAGUUGGAAUCGCUAGUAAUCGCGGAUCAGCAUGUCGCGGUGAAUAAGAGCCCGGGUCU